UGCAGUAGAACGCUGAAGAGAGGAGCUUGCUCUUCUUGGAUGAGUUGCGAACGGGUGAGUAACGCGUAGGUAACCUGCCUUGUAGCGGGGGAUAACUAUUGGAAACGAUAGCUAAUACCGCAUAACAAUGGAUGACACAUGUCAUUUAUUUGAAAGGGGCAAUUGCUCCACUACAAGAUGGACCUGCGUUGUAUUAGCUAGUAGGUGAGGUAAUGGCUCACCUAGGCGACGAUACAUAGCCGACCUGAGAGGGUGAUCGGCCACACUGGGACUGAGACACGGCCCAGACUCCUACGGGAGGCAGCAGUAGGGAAUCUUCGGCAAUGGGGGCAACCCUGACCGAGCAACGCCGCGUGAGUGAAGAAGGUUUUCGGAUCGUAAAGCUCUGUUGUAAGUCAAGAACGGGUGUGAGAGUGGAAAGUUCACACUGUGACGGUAGCUUACCAGAAAGGGACGGCUAACUACGUGCCAGCAGCCGCGGUAAUACGUAGGUCCCGAGCGUUGUCCGGAUUUAUUGGGCGUAAAGCGAGCGCAGGCGGUUUGAUAAGUCUGAAGUUAAAGGCUGUGGCUCAACCAUAGUUCGCUUUGGAAACUGUCAAACUUGAGUGCAGAAGGGGAGAGUGGAAUUCCAUGUGUAGCGGUGAAAUGCGUAGAUAUAUGGAGGAACACCGGUGGCGAAAGCGGCUCUCUGGUCUGUAACUGACGCUGAGGCUCGAAAGCGUGGGGAGCGAACAGGAUUAGAUACCCUGGUAGUCCACGCCGUAAACGAUGAGUGCUAGGUGUUGGAUCCUUUCCGGGAUUCAGUGCCGCAGCUAACGCAUUAAGCACUCCGCCUGGGGAGUACGACCGCAAGGUUGAAACUCAAAGGAAUUGACGGGGGCCCGCACAAGCGGUGGAGCAUGUGGUUUAAUUCGAAGCAACGCGAAGAACCUUACCAGGUCUUGACAUCCCGAUGCUAUUUCUAGAGAUAGAAAGUUACUUCGGUACAUCGGUGACAGGUGGUGCAUGGUUGUCGUCAGCUCGUGUCGUGAGAUGUUGGGUUAAGUCCCGCAACGAGCGCAACCCCUAUUGUUAGUUGCCAUCAUUCAGUUGGGCACUCUAGCGAGACUGCCGGUAAUAAACCGGAGGAAGGUGGGGAUGACGUCAAAUCAUCAUGCCCCUUAUGACCUGGGCUACACACGUGCUACAAUGGUUGGUACAACGAGUUGCGAGUCGGUGACGGCGAGCUAAUCUCUUAAAGCCAAUCUCAGUUCGGAUUGUAGGCUGCAACUCGCCUACAUGAAGUCGGAAUCGCUAGUAAUCGCGGAUCAGCACGCCGCGGUGAAUACGUUCCCGGGCCUUGUACACACCGCCCGUCACACCACGAGAG
rnacentral:rRNA from 1 species